rnacentral:tRNA from 1 species
GGAUUAGUAGCUCAGGUAGGUAGAGCGUUGGAUUGAAAAUCCAAAGGACAGAGGUUCAAAUCCUUUCUUUUCCA